GAUGAACGCUAGCGAUAGGCUUAACACAUGCAAGUCGAGGGGCAGCACAAUGUAGCUUGCUAUCUGGGUGGCGACCGUCGCACGCGUGCGUAACGCGUAUGCAACUUUCCCUAUACAGGAGGAUAACCCGUCGAAAGACGGACUAAUACUGCGUAUGCUCACAACUUUGCAUCAAGUGGUUAUUAAAGACAUUCGGUAUAGGAUAGGCAUGCGUCCCAUUAGCUUGUUGGUGAGGUAACGGCUCACCAAGGCAACGAUGGGUAGGGGAACUGAGAGGUUGACACCCGAGAAUGGUACUGAGACACGGACCAGACUCCUACGCAAGGGAGGAGUGAGGAAUAUUGGGCAAUGGGCGCGAGCCUGAACAAGCCAAGUCGCGUGAAGGAGGACUGUGUUAGGGAUUGUAAACUUCUUUUAUACGAGAAUAACAAGAGUAACGUGUGACUUCCUGAAUGUACCGAAUGAAUAAGCAUCGGCUAACUCCGUG
rnacentral:rRNA from 1 species